AAGGCCUUCGGGUUGUAAAGUACUUUCAGCAGUGAGGAAGGUGGGUAUGUUAAUAGCAUAUUCAUUUGACGUUAGCUGCAGAAGAAGCACCGGCUAACUCCGUGCCAGCAGCCGCGGUAAUACGGAGGGUGCGAGCGUUAAUCGGAAUUACUGGGCGUAAAAGCGCAUGCAGGUGGUUUGUUAAGUCAGAUGUGAAAGCCCGGGGCUCAACCUCGGAAUUGCAUUUGAAACUGGCAAACUAGAGUACUGUAGAGGGGGUAGAAUUUCAGGUGUAGCGGUGAAAAUGCGUAGAGAUCUGAAGGAAUACCGGUGGCGAAGGCGGCCCCCUGGACAGAUACUGACACUCAGAUGCGAAAGCGUGGGGAGCAAACAGGAUUAGAUACCCUGGUAG
rnacentral:rRNA from 1 species